rnacentral:rRNA from 1 species
CAGUAGCCACGGGAAGACAGAGGAUGCAAGCGUUAUCCGGAAUGAUUGGGCGUAAAGCGUCUGUAGGUGGCUUUUCAAGUCCGCCGUCAAAUCCCAGGGCUCAACCCUGGACAGGCGGUGGAAACUACCAAGCUGGAGUACGGUAGGGGCAGAGGGAAUUUCCGAUGGAGCGGUGAAAUGCAUUGAGAUCAGAAAGAACACCAACAGUGAAAGCACUCUGCUGGGCCGACACUGACACUAGAGACGAAAGCUAGGGGAGCAAAUGGGAUUAGAUACCCCCGUAGUCCCUGUCUCUUAUACA